CCUACGGGUGGCAGCAGUGGGGAAUAUUGGACAAUGGGCGCAAGCCUGACCCAGCAACGCCGCGUGAAGGAAGAAGGCUUUCGGGUUGUAAACUUCUUUUGUCAGGGAAGAGUAGAAGACGGUACCUGACGAAUAAGCCACGGCUAACUACGUGCCAGCAGCCGCGGUAAUACGUAGGUGGCAAGCGUUGUCCGGGUUUAAUGGGUGUAAAGGGCGUGUAGCCGGGUUGACAAGUCAGAUGUGAAAUCCUGCGGCUUAACCGCAGAACAGCAUUUGAAACUGUUGAUCUUGAGUACUGGAGAGGCAGGCGGAAUUCCUAGUGUAGCGGUGAAAUGCGUAGAUAUUAGGAGGAACACCAGUGGCGAAGGCGGUCUGCUGGACAGCAACUGACGGUGAGGCGCGAAAGCGUGGGGAGCAAACAGGAUUAGAUACCCUAGUAGUC
rnacentral:rRNA from 1 species